GGCAGUGGUAGCUCAGAGGUAAAGAUGUUGGACUACUGAUCUGAAGGUUGUGAGUUCAAAUCCCAGCACUGCCA